rnacentral:lncRNA from 1 species
GCUCAGGGCAAAUUGGUCCUCCACCCAGAGACUCUCCCUUUAGGUGGGUCUGGCUCCCAGCCUCCCCUGAGAUUUCCCUGGCUCACCAGGGGGCUGUGUCUGGUGGCAGAGAGGGCUUUGGAGGAGGCAUUGCCCUGAAACCCUGGCAGAGCCUGGGCACCUAAGAGAGAAUGAGCAACAGGGCUAGGAAGUGUGACAGGGAGUCCACAACCUCCCAGGAUCUUGGGAGGGCAGGGAUGAGGCACUGAGCACGGCCUGGAAGCCCACGGGAAGCAGGGACCCCUCUGUCGAGGGCUACACCUACUGCUCUCAGCAUCAAGCCUGCAGCCAGCCCCUGUCCCAGGCAGGUUUUGUGGCCGCGAGCUGCUCAGGAGUGAGCGCGCCUUAGGGUGUGUGCGCCAGGGACCUGGCGCAGCCGACCACGUGGGAGUGCGGCGCGUGUACGGGCGCGGGCGGCAGCGGCAGCGGAGACCGGGUGAGCACCGGCUGGUUCCUCGCGGUGUUCCUGUAGGCUUGGCGGCCGCGGUGGUGCGAUCAGCAAAGGGCACCGGGAUGCCGGUUGUGCGUGUCCUCAGGUGUCCCGAACAAGCGUGAGUGGCAUGUGCUCACCUGAGCGCGGCGGCUUGGCGGCCCCGGGCGUGUGGGUGGGGGCGCGGCGGAGAGCUGAGGCCGGGCACCCGGGCUGGACCGACGGGCCCUCUCCCAAGCACCGCCCGCAGCCAGGCGGCUCCUCGAGCGCAGCAACUUUGGGACUUUGUUCCGGCUUUUUCCAAAUCGAAUCUGGUCG